rnacentral:misc_RNA from 1 species
UGAGACAUUUGAUGGUGAAAAUGAAGAUGAAGAUGAUAUUGAAUGUGAUGACUUAGCUCAAGAUGACGAUACAAAGUUCAACUCUGAAAUGAAUGUUUUGCCUAAUUUCUGCUGAUUAUUGAAACAGUGAAAAAAAAAAUUUAAAAGCAUUGCAUAGUUCAUAUCUAACCAUUUUGAACAAUUGAAGGAACUUUUUUUAAAAAAUUUCUAAGAGAGGAAAAUGGG